UACGUAGGGUGCAAGCGUUGUCCGGAAUUAUUGGGCGUAAAGAGCUCGUAGGCGGUUUGUCGCGUCUGCUGUGAAAACUCGGGGCUUAACCCCGGGCCUGCAGUGGGUACGGGCAGACUAGAGUGAGAUAGAGGUUAACGGAAUUCCCGGUGUAGUGGUGAAAUGCGUAGAGAUCGGGAGGAACACCAGAGGCGAAAGCGGUUAACUGGGUCUAAACUGACGCUGAGGCGCGAAGGCUAGGGGAGCAAACAGG
rnacentral:rRNA from 1 species